rnacentral:piRNA from 1 species
UGGUAUAAUAUAUUUACUUCUCCAUAC